UGAGGAAUAUUGGUCAAUGGGCGCGAGCCUGAACCAGCCAAGUAGCGUGCAGGAAGACGGCCCUAUGGGUUGUAAACUGCUUUUAUGCGGGGAUAAAGUGCGUGACGUGUCAUGCAUUGCAGGUACCACAUGAAUAAGGACCGGCUAAUUCCGUGCCAGCAGCCGCGGUAAUACGGAAGGUCCGGGCGUUAUCCGGAUUUAUUGGGUUUAAAGGGAGCGUAGGCUGUCUAUUAAGCGUGUUGUGAAAUAUACCAGCUCAACCGGUGGCUUGCAGCGCGAACUGGUCGACUUGAGUAUGCAGGAAGUAGGCGGAAUUCAUGGUGUAGCGGUGAAAUGCUUAGAUAUCAUGACGAACUCCGAUUGCGCAGGCAGCUUACUGUAGCAUAACUGACGCUGAUGCUCGAAAGUGCGGGUAUCAAACAGG
rnacentral:rRNA from 1 species